UAAACAAUGACAACCAGGCUCAAGCACAUCAUCAAACUUCCCAAAGGUUUCUGUUAUAGCUACAGUUGACUGCUCCACUCAAAUACACCCAAGAGCUUGCCCCAUCUUAUGAUCAAAAUCAAUUAUUCCAAAAUCAAUACACAUACACAGACUUCAAUUAAUACAUUAAAUUCAUAUAAAAAAUAAACAACAAAUCUGUCUUUCUUUUACAAACAUUUUGAUGUCCAAUUCAUAGAAAACUGAAUAAGCUAUUCCAAUAUAUCCUUUAAAUACUCAACAAAGACAUGGCAGCAAAAGCUCAUACUAACCUUUCACGUCCAACAUAAUAAAAAAUCACUAACACCAAUGUUAAGACAGUUGUUACCGGUUAUAGUUGAGGCUUUAAUAUUCCAAAGAGCAUCAAUAAGUCCAAAAAGAUAAAAUUUAAUAGAAAAGAACAAAAGAAAGAAAUUUUCUUUGUACUUUCUACCUUGAAGGUGACGCGUUCUCUAAUUUAUAUACAACUAUCAAGGAAAAACAAUUCAGCUCUUUCAUUGAACUAAUCAGUUUGAAUAUCACUAUAACUAAGGAUGCAGAUAAGCCAAGCAACAAAUAACAGCAUAACAAUUAACAAAUCGUUUUCAAAUGCUAAAAAUAGUCAGCAACAGUUGUGUUUCGUGAACUUAAUUUGUUUAAUACAGCUGCGGUAUGAGAAGUGAGAGCUACAGCCUACUACCUUUAAUUUUUAAACAAUCAAAGAAGAUCCCAUAGGACAAGGCUACAAGCCCACAAGUAGAUAAUUUGCGCAUUCUGUAAGAUACUGAUAAUUCAUAUAUUCGUGUCACAUUUUACACGAAAAUUAUAUGUUAUAAUUCUUGUUGACAUGAAAACAUCAAAUACAUCUUUUUACUAAAAUUUUUAACCGUGUCUUGUAUUAUUCGUAUCAUUUUCAUAUGCUGCCAUUAGUGUCGUGUUGCCAGGUCUGCCUACCAGGCUAAAAAAAGAGGACAACUAUGUCAAAAUAUAUGACAAAAACAAAUCCAUAUUGAAAUAACGAAAAAGUGAUUUCGUUUACAGUUACUGCCAGAAAACUCAAAAACCAAGUCAACUUCCAAGCAAUUCUGAAAAAAAAAAAAGAGAUUAAACCUUAAUUUUCCCCGCUGUUUCGUGAUUUUGCAGAAGCAAAGCAAACAAUAGUAAGCCAGCGAUAUCACAGAGGAAACGAAAAAGAGAAAAAGUAAAAGAAGAAAAUUGCAGCUAUAAUUACAAGAAUUGCAUCUCUUAAAAGAACAAAAAUAUCAAAGACAUAGGCUUACCUAAAAGAAAAUUCAAGAUCGAGAGAAGCAAAUUCGAAAUUGGAAGAGAAAAAAAUUUCGCGAAAAGACGGUGUGCUUUUGCUCGCAAGACACGAA
rnacentral:lncRNA from 1 species